UACGUAGGGAGCAAGCGUUGUUCGGAUUUACUGGGCGUAAAGCGCACGUAGGCGGAUCUUUAAGUCAGAGGUGAAAUCCCAAGGCUCAACCUUGGAACUGCCUUUGAUACUGGAGAUCUUGAGUCCGGGAGAGGUGAGUGGAACUGCGAGUGUAGAGGUGAAAUUCGUAGAUAUUCGCAAGAACACCAGUGGCGAAGGCGGCUCACUGGCCCGGUACUGACGCUGAGGUGCGAAAGCGUGGGGAGCAAACAGG
rnacentral:rRNA from 1 species